rnacentral:rRNA from 1 species
GCUUAACACAUGCAAGUCGAACGGAAAGGCCCUGCUUUUGUGGGGUGCUCGAGUGGCGAACGGGUGAGUAACACGUGAGUAACCUGCCCUUGACUUUGGGAUAACUUCAGGAAACUGGGGCUAAUACCGGAUAGGAGCUCCUGCUGCAUGGUGGGGGUUGGAAAGUUUCGGCGGUUGGGGAUGGACUCGCGGCUUAUCAGCUUGUUGGUGGGGUAGUGGCUUACCAAGGCUUUGACGGGUAGCCGGCCUGAGAGGGUGACCGGCCACAUUGGGACUGAGAUACGGCCCAGACUCCUACGGGAGGCAGCAGUGGGGAAUAUUGCACAAUGGGCGGAAGCCUGAUGCAGCAACGCCGCGUGCGGGAUGACGGCCUUCGGGUUGUAAACCGCUUUCGCCUGUGACGAAGCGUGAGUGACGGUAAUGGGUAAAGAAGCACCGGCUAACUACGUGCCAGCAGCCGCGGUGAUACGUAGGGUGCGAGCGUUGUCCAGAUUUAUUGGGCGUAAAGGGCUCGUAGGUGGUUGAUCGCGUCGGAAGUGUAAUCUUGGGGCUUAACCCUGAGCGUGCUUUCGAUACGGGUUGACUUGAGGAAGGUAGGGGAGAAUGGAAUUCCUGGUGGAGCGGUGGAAUGCGCAGAUAUCAGGAGGAACACCAGUGGCGAAGGCGGUUCUCUGGGCCUUUCCUGACGCUGAGGAGCGAAAGCGUGGGGAGCGAACAGGCUUAGAUACCCUGGUAGUCCACGCUGUAAACGGUGGGUACUAGGUGUGGGGUCCAUUCCACGGGUUCCGUGCCGUAGCUAACGCUUUAAGUACCCCGCCUGGGGAGUACGGCCGCAAGGCUAAAACUCAAAGGAAUUGACGGGGCCCCGCACAAGCGGCGGAGCAUGCGGAUUAAUUCGAUGCAACGCGUAGAACCUUACCUGGGUUUGACAUGGAUCGGGAGUGCUCAGAGAUGGGUGUGCCUCUUUUGGGGUCGGUUCACAGGUGGUGCAUGGCUGUCGUCAGCUCGUGUCGUGAGAUGUUGGGUUAAGUCCCGCAACGAGCGCAACCCUUGUUCACUGUUGCCAGCACGUUAUGGUGGGGACUCAGUGGAGACCGCCGGGGUCAACUCGGAGGAAGGUGGGGAUGACGUCAAGUCAUCAUGCCCCUUAUGUCCAGGGCUUCACGCAUGCUACAAUGGCUGGUACAGAGAGUGGCGAGCCUGUGAGGGUGAGCGAAUCUCGGAAAGCCGGUCUCAGUUCGGAUUGGGGUCUGCAACUCGACCUCAUGAAGUCGGAGUCGCUAGUAAUCGCAGAUCAGCAACGCUGCGGUGAAUACGUUCCCGGGGCUUGUACACACCGCCCGUCAAGUCAUGAAAGUUGGUAACACCCGAAGCCGGUGGCCUAACCGUUGUGGGGGAGCCGUCGAAGGUGGGACUGGUGAUUAGGACUAAG